CUUUGCUUAGCCCUGUAGGUAUCUUUGUAUGGUUGCAAAGCAGCCUCCAACUGCCGCUUGAAGUUGAUGUUCUGCUCCAUCAGGGGACAAAGCUCAAAAACUGACAAUGCAGUCCCCAGCUGGACAAUCUCGGAGAGCCCUUGCACAGUGAAGGGCUUGUGAACUCUUGCACCUCCUGUGCCUCAGUGUCUCCCAGGCCUUCACUGCCAAGAGUGCAUGCAAAGCUGGCAAUGUGCUGCACCUCAUCUGCCAAAGAUGGAACAGCUGCAGUGGGUGAAGAGGUGACGGCCAAAGAGGUGUCCACAGCUGCCAAGAAUGCCUGCAGAACCUCAAGGCACUGAAGGGACAGCUGAGGAGACUGAGAAGCAGACUGGCCAGGGACUUCACAUAAGAUAUAGAGCUAAAUUUCAAUAAAACAUGUUGCAUAUUUAUUGUAAAUAAAAUUAAAACUGUUUAAAUCGUAUGUAGAAAUAAAAUAGUAAUAUAACAUGCUGCAUAGGGAAAGGGGGGUUGCUUUAAAAGAGAAUGAAAUGGUCUUGCUCUGAAUGUUCUUUUGUUGCAGUUGGAUAAAAAGGUCUCUGGAUCAAGCCCAGCCAGAGAAAAGGCUCUCUUAGCCAGUCCACUCAGGGCCAAGAGAUGUUCUGAGAGGCUCAAGAAGUAGCUCAAGAUAGACUUCUCCUUUCCAGGAGGCUCAUACAGAGCUUCUCUGCCCACAACCUGAAUGCCUUGAAGCCUGAUUUUGUAGAGAAGCUGCCUCUGGAAGGGAAUGGGAUGCUGAUGCAGAAGGGGAAGUUUGAUUUUGGGCAGGGCUGCACAACUUCAGCCCCCCAGCUACUGUUUCAGGACAGUUCCCACCAACCCUGACUAUUGUCUUUAGGAUUGCUUUAGGAUUUUAAUGCAGGAAUUUAUAUGUAAUAUAAAAUUAGAACAAUGAUAUGGAUAGCAAUGGUUAUGAAAUGCAAUGAAAUAUGAUUUUCUUGGGGGUGGGGGGAACCAACACUAUCUACAGUUGUCACAAGAAAAAUGGUUUCUCUUUGGUGACAAGUAUGCAGUUUUUAAAAUGUAAUUAUGUUGUACAGAAUGGUCACAGGAAACCUCCAAAAUGAGCAGGAUCAGAUGUUCUCCUAACCUAAUAUGAAGCCCAUCUCAACCAACUGCCAGUUCCAGCACUGGAAAUAGCAUCAUGGCUUUGAUUAUUUAAUAACCAGAGGCUAUUCAUAAUUACAGACUGAGUACAGAAUCCACUGAGAAAUCCUUCUUUUUAAGCCUUAUUGAAGUAAAUGAAAUCUGCACAAGA